GUUCGAUUAUGGCUCAAUUGAACGCUGGCGGGAUGCUUUACACAUGCAAGUCGAACGGCAGCACGGACUUUGGUCUGGUGGCAGGUGGCGAACGGGUGAGUAAUGUAUCGGAACGUGCCUAGUAGCGGGGGAUAACCGCGAAAGCGUAGCAGCUAAUACGCGCCCUUCAGGGGAAAGCGGGGGACCUUCCCGAGGCCUCCUUGCCCCUAUUAGAGCAGCCGAUAUCGGAUUAGCUAGUUGGUGGGGUAACGGCUCACCAAGGCGACGAUCCGUAGCAGUUUUGAGAGGACGACCAGCCACACUGGGACUGAGACACGGCCCAGACUCCUACGGGAGGCAGCAGUGAAAAUUUUGGACAAUGGGGAAACCCUGAUCCAGCUAUCCCGCGUGUGCAGAGCCUUCGGGUUGUAAAGCACUUUUGGCAGGAAAACGGCACGGGAUAAUACGUGCGCUGACAGUACCUGCAGAAUAAACACCGGCUAACUACGUGCCAGCCGCGGUAAUACGUAGGGUGCAAAAGCGUUAAUCGGAAUUACUGAGCCCGUAAAGCGUGCGCAGGCGGUUCGGAAGAAAGAUGCUGAAAUCCCAGGCUAACUUUGGGGCUACGUACAACUACCGAGCUAGAGAGUGUCAGAGGAGGUGGAAUUCCGCGUGUAGCGGUGAAAUGCGUAGAUAUGCGGAGGAACACCGAUGGCGAAGGCAGCCUCCUGGGAUAGCGCUGACUCAUGCACGAAAGCGUGGGGGCAAACGGAGUUAGAUACCCUGGUAGUCCACGCCCAAACAUUGUCAGCAACUGUUGGGGCCUUCAGGCCUUGGUAGCUACAACUAACGCGUGAAGUUGACCGCCUGAAGGUACCAGUCCGCAAGUUAAACUCGAAAAAUUGACGAGGACCCACACAAGCGGUGGAUGAUGUGGAUUAAUUCGAUGCAACGCGAAAAACCUUUACCCUUGACAUGUCUGGAAUCCCGAAAGAGAUUUGGGAGUGCUCGCAGAGAACGGGAACACAGGUGCUGCAUGGCUGUCGUCAGCUCGUGUCGUGAGAUGUUGGGUUGUAAGUCACAACGAGCGCAACCCUUGUCAUUAGUUGCUACGAAAGGGCACUCUAAUGAGACUGCCGGUGACAAACCGGAGGAGAAGGUGGGGAUGACGUCGAGUCCUCAUGGCCCUUAUAGGUGAGGCUUCCCGUCAUACAAUGGUCGGGACAGAGGGUCGCCAAUACGAGAGGCCAAUCCCGGCCAGUCAUGGUCGGAUCUGUAGUCUGCAACUCAUUCUGUGAUCGGAAUCGCUAGUAAUCGCGGAUCAGCAUGUCGCGGUGAAUACGUUCCCGAGGAGUCUUGUACACCGCCCGUCACACCAUGGGGUAGGUUUUUUACCAGAAGUAGUUAGCUAACAAUAAGAGGCGAUUACGGUAGGAUUCAUAUGACUAAGGGUGAAGUCGUAACAAGGUAG
rnacentral:rRNA from 1 species